ACACCACAUGUAAGGCACUAAGGCUUGGGGCUUGCAACGUCUGAAUUAAUGGCCCAAGCUGUAUGUUUGUCCCUUUUAGCCACAACUGAGAAAGAAGCAGUCGGGAUGCUGGGCACCAUGUCCCAAGGCUGCACAGAACAAGGGGUCCUGGGGCCUGGGUCAUAAAACCAUUUUUCUCUCAUAGGUAUCUAGGCCUGUGAUGGAAGGGGAUGCCCUGAAAAUCUCUGACAUUCCCUGGAGACAUUUUCCCCAUUGUCUUGCUGAUUAACAUUCAGCUGCUUGUUACUUAUGCAAAUCUCUGCAGCAGGCUUGAAUUUCUUUUUAGCUUGAGAUGGGUUUUGUUGUUAU